UACGUAGGUGGCAAGCGUUGUCCGGAUUUACUGGGCGUAAAGAGCGCGCAGGCGGUCGAUCAAGUCGCGUGUGAAAGCCCCCGGCUCAACUGGGGAGGGUCACGCGAUACUGAUCGACUCGAAGGCAGGAGAGGGGUGUAGAAUUCCCGGUGUAGUGGUGGAAUGCGUAGAUAUCGGGGGGAAUACCAGUGGCGAAAGCGGCACCCUAGCGUUAGCCUGACGCUCAUGUGCGAAAGCGUGGGGAGCGAACGGG
rnacentral:rRNA from 1 species